CGACUCCACAAGCAUCUACUCGGCGCAGUACGGCUCGGCUCGUCUUUGUUUGCGAGCGUUUCCAUAUGGAUUAGCGCAUCAUACCAGGCACGAUUUUUCGUACCUUCUCGGCUGAGGUUCCAAGCGAGAUGAAGUGAGCCAGAUGUGACGUCUACAUAGUGCAGGCCACUGAUUGGACAGGAAGUGACGACACAGGAGAGCGACUCCAGCACGAAAACAAAACCGGCAUUAAAAAAAAAAAAACUGUAAACAGCUACGGUGUGCAUUGCUCUUCACGGAGCUCUCUGUUCUUCAUAAUUUUAAUAUGACAGCCAGACCUGUACCGUGGGUGAAUGAAGAGGUCGAGACUUUUCUGUUUCUGGUGGCGGACCAAAGAAUACAGAGGGAGCUGGACGGAGAAAGUUUAUCAGGAGGUCUCUGAGCGGAUGGCCACCCACGGAUACAGUAGACUGUAUAUAAAGAGGACAGACAGCGCGCUAGCGUAUCUAGUCUGCUAUAUAUAUCUAUGGUCGGCACGUCUGGUAGCAUCUCUGGCUGCUGUUGACCUUGUUUUUGGAGUAAAACACGGUGGAAGCUGAAUUAGUGAGGAUGACUCCUGCUCCUGUCAUCUCUAAGCUCCUCACACAUCUUUACCUGCACAUGAGGAAAAUCACUCCUGUAGAAUGCAGGUUUCCCAGAGACUAUGGGUUGAGGAGGAAUUGGAAGUUUGUCGGCUUAGACCUGGUGUCAUUCCAUCAGUGUUUAACUUCCCGGCUCAUCUUGGAAGAGUACGUGCCAGAAAGACCACGACCAAGCAGCCUUGAGAUCUUAGCAGCGUCUCCCUGAGGUCCCUCUCUAUCUCCCCACACAUCCACCAACCACUGGAACACAUCUCCAAAGUUCUGCCGGUCCAGCUCAGCUUCCCCUCAGAAGAAGUGGCGCCACCUGCCAGAUGAAGGAGCCUUUUGAGAGGCAGCUGGCAUCGUGAUUGGACUGUACUUUGGUCUGUUCCAAUCCAGCUUCAGCUCCAGAGAUGGCAGGCGGGACGAGUCAACGGAGGCCGGGUGGACGAAGGCAUGCAGCUGAGUACAAUCCAGAAAACAACAGAGGAGGAGUGCAGUGGCCCAGGGCCAGAACAACCAGAGUAGCAUCAUAUGUGUCUUAGAAAACAUCAUAGUAUAGCCUUUGGUAUGAAAAAACGCCAUCAUAUACAUCGUAUAUUGUACAAAUAAGUCAAAGGAAAGAGAUAUACAUUGUAGAAUUGUAGUAAUUGUGGGCUGACUGAUUUACUGAUUAGCAGUAUUUUAUUUUUGACUGAUUUACGGUAAUAAAUACAUUAAAAAUGGUGCUACUUUGGCUCUGAACCUUUAUCUACCUGUGGUCGCUCUGUCUUCUGGAGUGAUUUGAUUGGUUAUACAUCGCGAAUAAAACUCCUUUAACAUCUGUAAACAAAAACGUAUCAACAAAGUUUUCUGUUAGAGUUUGUGUUCUUCUAAGUUUAACUCCAAGAUUUUAAAUACUUUCAUUUACUGCAAAUGAAUAUCUACUCCAAAUGUCUCACUAAUAAUCAUUAUCAGCCUUAAAAACCCACAAAACACCCCUCUAUACUCGACCACACUUAGUACAGUCCGGUUCCCCCUUCUAUAAAUCUGCUUGGAAUCUUCCACUUCCUGUUUGUCAAAGUGGCCUUCUACCUGGACAGGUUUUGUUGGAGCUCAUGCAACAAACAUUUUGGGUAACUGCACUUUAAUAUGGAUGGAUGACACUGAAUUAGAGUCUGUUUUAAUGAGACUGAGUUAAGAUGUGUAGCUCUGUCAUUAAAUAGGAAAUUAUUUCUCAGAAUUCACAGAGAAAAGUCUGAAAUGUUUGCUAGGUUAGCGUCCCACAUGUUCUUUGGCUCAGCUAAAGCUAACUCUCUCCAACUUCUGGAUCUCUUGAGUUACUUGUUAAAAUAUCUUGCUAGAGGUGCUGAAGCUCAGAAAGUCUGAGAUGUUUGUUCAAAAUAAGCUCAUUCUCAAGUCUGAUCUGAACUGUCCUCUUUUGUUUGAACUUUCCCUAAACUUAGGAGUUAAUGACAGAGCAGCACAUCCAGACUCAGUCUCAUUUAUGUAGAGAUUAAACUUCAGUGUCAUUCAUUGAUGUUAAAGUGCAGUUUUUCAAAUGUUUGUUGCACAUGCUCCCGACCAAAGCAGUCCAGGUGGAAGACGAUGUGAAGAGAAAGCUCCAGAGGAUGAAUAUCACACAUUUACGUUGGAAAUAAAUGUCCUUUAAUUAGACAUUGUCAUGCAAAAGUUGGAUUUCCCUUUAAUGAUGUUCAAAUCUUUGUUGAGUGUUUUGUUGAUGUUGGUUUCUAAAUGUUUUCUGACACUCGGCCCCAAAGAUUAAAACCUUCUACGGCUCACAAGCUGCAACAAUUCACACAUUAUCAACUAUCUUUCUGACUAAACUAAGAUAAAAAGUGAAAAACUGCCUGA